rfam:Brassica oleracea var. oleracea cultivar TO1000 chromosome C3, whole genome shotgun sequence
ACGACCUUACUUGAACAUGAUCUAUUCCACGGUAAGUACCUCUGUAUCCUUGAUUUCUAAGGAGACAUGCUCGUAACCCUGGUUGAUGAUUCAUGACCGUACGGUUUGAGUGUGAUUAACGGUUACGAUUGUCUUCGGACUCUCCGCGCAGAGGAUCGCUACCUAGUCUGGUCUUCACCUAGCUAGGGUGGUCGUACGGUUGUCUGACAUGUC